ACGGAUUAUUUUUUUCCGAAGAGGUUUUGACUGAAUGGAAGAAAACAAGAAGGCUAAACUUCUUUUUGUGUGGCUUGGAGGUGUGUGCCCCAAACUCUUAGACUGACCAAAGAGGAUGUUACUGUUCAUCAGAUGGGAAUUAGAUCAUUAUGCAAUUUUACUUAAACUCAAAAUCCUGGACCACUUAAGCAGUACCAUUUUGGUUUUCACUUUAACCUGUAAUGAACCAGGAAGGAAGACACAUUUUAGAAAGUAUAUCACACGUGAUAUAUGUUUUUGAGUAACUUGCCUCUGAGAUCUAAUCCUACACUCAAGAACAUUUGCAAAAAGCCUUUUGUCACAGACAGAAAGACUUUCUUAAAUGUAAAAAAUCAGUUGCACGUCAGAUCAUGCACUCUACAACUGAGAAUUUGUGAGCUCUUUCUUAUCAGCAUUUUCUGACCUUUCUUAAUAACAUGUUUUCUCAUGGACUCAGCUUUGGCCAGAAGUGGGUCUAUUUAAGAGCUUGCCGGAAUCAAUUCUGUCUGGCAUGGGGCAGCCCCCCCCCUCUUCCUGCAGAAACCAUCCUUACUAUACCAAAAUCUUGCAAUUUGCACUCAGUCUUGGAGAAAGGGAUUCAAGGCCUCCUUUUGUGAGAAGAUCUUAUGGAAGAAGAAAUAAACCUAGGAGUGUGGUUCUCCCACCUUUAUUUCCUCUCUCCCAGAAUCAACCAGUAUUUUCAGAAUUUGCAGAUUUUCAAAUUUACGUGGAUCUUUUUUUAUAGGGUACUUUGUGUUUUAAUGAAAUCUAAUCAGGCCUUCUCAAUAAGAUCAUUUUUGUCUUCUUUAUGUAAUCUGACCUGACAAAUCCUUCCAUUUGAAUGUCUUUACAUACACUUUUGACAGCACAAUCUUUCUCUCUUUGUAAUUGUGCGGCAGGGGAAAACAGAUGAAUUUGAGUGGGGUCAUAUCAAAUCAUUCAAUAAUUAUUACUAUUUUUUAAAGUGAGUGUGUCUUAUGGAUUGUGAAUAUUUAGAAUUCCAGUCGGGUACUUCGGUGAUAUAAUGAACAGGAUGUGGCUGAUACAGGAACUGGCUAUUUUUAGGUAAAACUCCUGAAGUGGGAUUUAAUUCUAAGUCUUCUGUGCAUUUUUAUUUCUCAAGCUGCUUGCUAGACUUGAAUGAUACAUGAUUAAUAAUUGAGCAAAUCAUAUUUAUAUGUUACUUUGCAAUAGAUGAAUGGGAAGAAAAAAAGAAAAUAAAAUGAAGGGGAAAAAAGGAAAGAUAAGAAGCUUGGAUUGCCAAAAGGCAAAGUGUGCUUCCACGUUUCCUUCCGUUCUGCAAGGAAGAGAUGAUAAUUUAUAUGUCAGUCAGAGUUUACUUAGACUUUAUGCAUUAAUUUCUAUGUUCCCCCAUUUUCAUACACGGCCCUUUGCCUCCUGCUCAAGAGAAUUAACAGCAAGAUUAUUGUGACUGAGUUAAGAUUUAGUCUCAACUGGUUAUUUCUGUAAAAAUAUGGGGUGAGUAGAGAGAUUAAAUAAUUUAAGGUGAAUACAAGGUAUGGUUUUCCUAGAUAGAGUACUGUGUAUUUAGCAGUAUGGCCUAAUAACUUUGUCUGUGAUGAGAGAAAUGUCAUUUCCACAUUUUAUUGCCAUGUGAUGAUUAUUUGUUUGUAUUUCCAGUCAAAUCAAAAUACAUCUAUCAACCUCAUUAAAUUAUUUUAUCAAUUUAAAAUUCAAAAGAAGCUACAUUGCCUCAAAUUGCCUGUACUAAUGCUCUACUUGUGACAUCUUGAAGUAGCCACUAGCUCUACUUUCCUUCCCACUAUAAACUGUUGACAAUAAAUUGUUCAUAAUUAUUUUAAGCUCACCAAUUCUUCCUUUUAAAGCUUAUAAUGUACUUCAGAUAAGGCCAUUUUUUCACAGUUAUUUAGAAGAUACUUCUUGGGUUGUAGGAAUUAUUCUGUGAAAAAAAUGAAAUGCUUGAAACAACACUACUUUUAGGAAAGUUUAGAAUUAUGAUUCAUACAGCUUUACAGUAAUUGCCAUGUCCAUGCUCCUACUUAUAUUGACAGUUCAAAACCUCUGGUAUUUCUGCACUCUUCAUUUCUUUAUUACAUAAUAGAUUCUGUCCAGUUCUUUAUUCAGUGUUCAGUAGUAUUCAUAUCUAUACAGUUUCUCAAAGAUAGGCAAAAUGGCAAAAUAAAUCUUAUGGAAAAAUAUUCAUGGAAUAAGAUGUCUAGAGGUUAUUUUAUUCCUCACCACUGGUGGUUGUUUGAUAUCUUCAAUCCUGAAAAAGGAAGAUUUACUUGCAUUCUGACAAGCUUAAAAAAAACAAAACAAAACAAAACAAACAACAACAACAACAAAAAAACCACAACCUUUUUCUACUGGAUUUGUAGAUUUUAGUAUAGCCAUUACAAAUGUCCAGUAUUACUUUGCAUUUUGUUAUGUAUAUCAAUUAUUCAUACAGUUACAUAGGGUAUGGUGACUUUAGCCAUCCCAGCUCCAUCGUGAGUUAGAGCUCUAACUAAUAGCUACAUUCUGGAAAUGGUGCUGAUCAGUAAUGAGCCCAAAUCUGCACUUAGCACUUCUCAGCAUCACAACAAAAACAUGUGAUGUCAUUUUAUUAUCUUCAGAGUAUAUAAUACAUUUUCUUCAGAUAUAUUAUGCUAUAUUUUUUGUUUGAUUUGCUAUGAAUCUCUUCAAAUAUGUUUUUUGUUGAUUCUGUCUCAUUGGACACCUGUCUUUCUCUGGAAUGAUUAUAGUGAGUACAGAAUGAAAUCUUCCCAGUGGUUGGCUGGCUUUGUUGAGACCUUGAUUACCUAUAUAGUUUUCGUUCUUAGGUAUAGCUGCUUCAUCUACAGUAGAUACUUGAUGUGUGGGUUCAUCAGCUGAUCUUGUGCCAUCUGCCCAGAUGAUUUUUCUUUGAAAGCUCCUCAGAUGAUUUUAUUCUUUUGGAUGAUCAGAGGUAGUCGUGACUGUUUAGAACUGUUUUUUUGUGUUUUUUUGUUUGUUUGUUUGUUUGUUUUUUGCCACU
ensembl:lncRNA